ensembl:lncRNA
UGUGACUGAUGAUGGUGACUGUGAUUAUGGUGAUUCGGGCAGUGAUUGUGACUGUGUUGUUCCUGUUGGCAGAGAACAUCACGGCUCUGAGGUUCAGCAGUGACUGCAGGCGUCUGCUCUCGUCUUCAGCUGACAGCUGUAUCUUUGUGUGGCGACUCGCUCCUGAACUCACUAUCAAUAUGAGAGAGAGACUGUCUGUGAUCAGACGCCGUGACAGGGCAUCAAGCGUCAGGAACAAUCCUUUCAGAUGUUCUUCUGUGACUGGAUUCACACUGCACAGAUCCACAUCCAUCACGAGCUGCCCAUCUGAGAGCGACCGAGAGGAAGAUAAUGAAGACAUGAAGACAGCUGAAGAGACAGGUCAGAACACACACACCUUACUCCAAAGAAGGACUUCUGUCAUUUUAUAUACAGCUACGUAUGAAUACAAUAACCUAACAGUAACACAAAACUUUCCACAUUUUCAGUUUUUUUUGGUUUUUGUUUUUUGGAAUAUAAUAUACAAAUGAGGAUGCACACAGACAGUUCAGAUCUAGCUGACUUCUUGAUACA